CCUCCUGGCCAAGUGACUAGGGCUGUGCAGGUUGCUAUUGACAUUGGGUACCGUCACCCUGACUGUGCCCAGUGCACCAGAAUGAGAAAGCAGUGGGAGUGGUCUUCCAGGAGAUACUCAAGGAACAGGUAGGGCACACCAGUUCUUCAUCAUCAGCAAGCUGUGGUGUACGGUGCAUGACAGGGACAUGGUGAAAGGAGCCUGCCAGAAGACACUCGGCGACCUGCCACUCUACUGCCUGGACCUCUGCCUUGUUCACUGGCCAGCAGGCUUCAAGCCUGGGCCUGACUAUUUCCUGUGGAUGCAUCAGGAAACAUGAUUUUCAGUGACACUGAUUUGGGGGACCACUCGGACAGCCACGGAUCACCUAGAGCAUGAAGGUUUGGUGAAAGCAAUCGGUGUCUCUGACUUCAACCCUCUUCAGAUCAAGAGGAUCUCAGCCAAACCUGGCUUAACAUAGAAACCUGUGGUUCAUCAGACUGAGUGCUACUCACACCUAACUCAGGAGAAAUGGACUCGGUACUGCCAGUCCAAGAGGCAUUGGGGUGACCUCGUAUAGUCCCCUUGGUUCUCCUGACAGGCCCUGGGCCAAGCCUGAAGAGCCUUCUUUCCUGGAGGAUCCCAAGACCAAGGCAACUGCAGCCAAGAAUGAAACUACAACCCGGGGGCUACCUGGUUCCUCCCAAAAAAGAACUUGGUGUCAAUCCCCAAGUCUGUGACACCCGCACACAUUGUUGAGAGCUUAAAGGUCUUUGACUUCCAGCUGAGCGUCAAUGAUGAGACUAAUCUACUCAGCCCCAACAGGAACUGGAUGGAGGGUGUGCGCCUUGAGGAGCUGUGACAAAUACAAGGAUGACCUCUUCCA
rnacentral:lncRNA from 1 species